AUGGAUAUUAUCACAUUAUCAGUCUUUGUGCUGUGGACUGCAGGUCUAACUGAUGGAAGCGAUGUCACCCAGACUGACAUACUGUGGAAAGACGAGGGUGAUGAUGCAACAAUACACUGCAGCCAGACCAAGGGUGUUCAGUACGACCAGAUGUACUGGUUCAGACAGCUGCCAGGAGAAACAAUAAAACUAAUAGUGCGCACAAGUUUCACCACCAAAGGUCACGACUUUGGAGAUUUCGGCAAAGAGAGAUUUUCAGCCACCAAGCCUGACUUUGAAAGUGGGAAAUUCACAGUGAAGAAUCUGCAGCCAAAAGAUAAAGGCUUGUAUUUCUGUGCUGUGAGUCAACACAGUGAUACAGACUCAUUCAAUAGCUGA